GACGAACCGAGCGAACGUUGUUCGGAAUCACUGGGCUUAAAGCGCGCGUAGGCGGUUACUCAAGUCGGAUGUGAAAGCCCUCGGCUUUAACUGAGGAAGUGCACCCGAAACUGAGUAGCUAGAGUACUAAAGAGGGUCGCGGAAUUCCCGGUGUAGAGGUGAAAUUCGUAGAUAUCGGGAGGAACACCGGUGGCGAAGGCGGCGACCUGGGUAGAUACUGACGCUGAGGCGCGAAAGCGUGGGGAGCAAACAGG
rnacentral:rRNA from 1 species